CGUAGGACUACUAGAGUUUCGCGCUUCCGAGAUGAGCAACAAGCAGCUGCAAGGAGGUAUAAUGGUCACAGUGGAAGACAUCUGCACUAAAUUAUCUUUAUAGGGCUGCACAAACAAAUGGUGCGAUGGAUCGCGUACAGACCAAUAGGGUGUCGGAAUGGAAUAUGUUUAUACUUCUCAUCCAAUCACAAUCAAAUUCACCUCAUCUGGACGGCGCGAUUUAUCUGGGUAGUUUUUUUUUUCAGUAACGAAGCUAUUUUUAAAAUGUAAGGAGUAGAAAGUACAGAUAAUUGUGUGAAAAUGUAAGCAGUAGAAGUAAGAGUCGGCUGAAAAAUAAUUACUCCAGAAAGUAUAGAGACCCCAAAUUUCUACUUAAGGUAACAAAAUAUUUGUACUUCGUUACUUGAAACCUCUGGUAAACACUUGCAUUUUAGUGUCCCAUCAGGUAAUGAAAAGUUAGACACACACUUGUGGUCUUCAUCCUCACUUGAACACUUGGGUCAAAUACAGGAAAUACGUCAAAGAAGUAGUUAAGUGCAAAGACCACAAGUGUGGAUAUUUGGACAAGGCUUAAGUGCAUUCUUUGUCUAAGGCCACAUCAUGAAUAAACAAAUCAGUAUAAACCAUGAGGAAACAAAUGGUUUUUCUCUGAGCUCCUGUGGUUUCUGCAGAUGCAUUAUCUACAUACAGAUAUAUAAUUGUAGUGUAAACACCAGUGUUGGGUGUUUUAUACUUUUAUACAUUUUAUACUUUUAGGUCAACUUUGACCUGCUUAACUCAUUUAAAUGAGUAGAACUUUGAGUGAGAACAAAUUCAUCUGCUGUAAGUGCAGAAUCAGACAAUUUAGAAUGUUUACACUGCAGCAUGAUGAAUGUUACAGUCUGUAUCUGUUUAUAAUGUGCUAAUAACGAAGAAUUUAGCUUAUGAAAUAUCAGAAUGGUGUUUAUGAACUGUGUAGUAAUACAGACAAAGCAUAAUGUGCACGAAAGACCCAAAAUGUUGGUUUUUGUUAGGAGUGGACAAAAUUAGCAUUAGUGACUGCUAAUGUAAUGUCGGCUGCAUGUACAUGUCAGUGAGUAUGAAAUAUGGUACUUAUAGCUUUGAAAUGAUUAAUACAGCUUAAAAUAUCUCAAAUUGUGUUCUGAAGAUGAACAAAGCUUUUAUGGGUUUGGAACGACAUUUGGGUAAGUGAUUAAUGACAAAAAUUUUCAUUUAGCAGUGGUGUAUUCCUUAAAGUUACUUUUCAGUCUGAGUAAUUAGAAAAGUAAUUUAAAUACAUUUAUAAAAUGUAAAUUUUGUCCCAGAAAGCAUUUAUUGAAAUACUUGCCGUCUGAUCUUGUGUGUUUGCAGAUCUUGCGGUGAAGGUAUGUCUUGCCCACAGAUAAAGCCAUAACCAGUAAUAUCACUACACCAGUUAGUUUCAAUGGGUUAAGUUGUGACAGCUGAAUGACAUUUAUCAGAAUCAGAAUCAGAUUCAGAAAGAGCUUUAUUGCCAAGUAUGUUUGCGCAUACAAGGAAUUUGUUUUGGUGACAUUAGCUUCCAGUA